rnacentral:rRNA from 1 species
AGUGAACGCUGGCGGUAGGCCUAACACAUGCAAGUCGAACGGCAGCACAGUAAGAGCUUGCUCUUACGGGUGGCGAGUGGCGGACGGGUGAGGAAUACAUCGGAAUCUACUUUUUCGUGGGGGAUAACGUAGGGAAACUUACGCUAAUACCGCAUACGACCUACGGGUGAAAGCAGGGGAUCUUCGGGCCUUGCGCGAUUGAAUGAGCCGAUGUCGGAUUAGCUAGUUGGCGGGGUAAAGGCCCACCAAGGCGACGAUCCGUAGCUGGUCUGAGAGGAUGAUCAGCCACACUAGAACUGAGACACGGUCCAGACUCCUACGGGAGGCAGCAGUGGGGAAUAUUGGACAAUGGGCGCAAGCCUGAUCCAGCCAUACCGCGUGGGUGAAGAAGGCCUUCGGGUUGUAAAGCCCUUUUGUUGGGAAAGAAAAGCAGCAGGUUAAUACCCCGCUGUUCUGACGGUACCCAAAGAAUAAGCACCGGCUAACUUCGUG